ACAAUUUUAUUCAGUAAGUAUUAAAAGUCAAAGCGACAGAAAGGAUUGUAUGGCUGAACUGCCUGUUUUUCCUUCUUUGCGGUACACAAGGUAUUGGUGUGGCCUUCCCACCGAUGGUGCCUCCCAAGAGAUGAAAUACAGUGUGUCUGCAAGCAAGAGAGCAUCCCAGAUGCUUCCCAGUGCUGAACUAUGGAACUAAGCUGACUUACUGGGAGGACGCGACUGGCUGCUUUACUGUCUGUCGAGGCAGAGCAGAAUCACGCUUCCUUGGGGAAGCUCGUUCCCAAGAAAAGGGAAGUGGAAGAACACCCCAGAUUACACAAGUCCAAUGUCUCUUCCAAAGCCGCGAGUCAGAUGCCAUCACUUGCUACCUGAGACGGGGUGGAGAGGGUCCAGAAGUGUUAUCUACGUGGAGUUGUCUCCACAGGGAUGGAAAUACCAGAAGUGGGAAGACGAGUCUCCCGGUAGCUAUCUCACAGGUUUGGUGCGAAAGUGAAAUAAAUUUGCCAUCGCAGGCUCAUAUCCUGGCUCAUCUGUGUCCCUGUGAUCAGUGUCCCCAUGCUUCUUGCAAAUCGGUUGUCUGUGCUCGCUGUUUAGAUCAUCUACUUUUGCCAUCAGCGGAAGGCUCCCCAAACACAUGCCUGAGCCCUUCAGAAUUAUGUUCAGAGGGGGCACGGAACAAAGAAAAGGUUGACCCCAUCCUCACUUGCUGGAGGCAGGAGAUGUGAUUCAAUGUGUCAGAGAACUUCCUAAACGACAAGACAGCAAUUUUUUAAAGUUAACUUAAAAAAGAAAAGAAAAGAAAGAAAGCUCAUGUCCUUGGCUGAUGAGCGUGGAGAAGACCUUGGGAUGGUUUUCAGAGAGACGGAAGCCUUAGCACAGGCCUGCUGCUGCACGCAAAUAUUUGCUUAAAUUUGAUUCAACAAAUAUUUAUUGAGCAUCUGUCAUAUGCCAAGUGCCAGGGAUACUGGAAUGAAAAAAAGAUGAGCAAAAUUUCUACCCUCCUUGAGAUGAUUCCUGGUGGGGAACCCAAUGAACAAACCCAUAGAUACGUAAUCAGAAGCUUUCACACAAUGGAAUGAGAAAUCGAUGCUAACCAUCAACAAUAAGCCAAGCCAAGAACAUUCCAAACAGAAGAAAGAAGAUGUGUCCCUGUCAUGCACUCGAAUGAAGAAUUGGUUCUGACCAGGGAUGAAGGAAGGAUGGCUGCAGAGAGAAAGCGACGCUGAGCUGGUAACCGGGGUUUUAUAAGAUGGGGGAGGGGAGUGCAUUUCAGGCUGAGGGACUAGCUCGGGCAGGCAUAAAGGUAACACAGGGUUUGCUGUGGCAGGAACUGUGAGGUGUGGUCAGUGUUUGGAGGGAGACUGGCUCAAAUGUUGUUUGCAGUCAAGUCAUAGAGGGUUUGGGAUUCCGUGCCUACCAUGCCGGGGAGUUUUGACUUUACUCUGCAGACAACAAGGAUACUCAUUCACACAGGAGCGAGAACGUUUCAACAGACCCUCAAAUAUCAAAGCAAUAGCAGGACAUCUGGGGUAAGGUUGGGGAGAAUUCUUAUACAUAAAAAGAACAACGAUGGAGUUCAUUUUUUUUAUUUGUUUGUUUGUUUUUGUUUGUUAGGGCCCUACUCUUGGCAUAUGGAGGUUCCCAGGCUAGGGGUCUAAUUGGAGCUGUAGCCACCGGCCUACACCAGAGCCACAGCAACAUGGGAUUCGAGCCACGGCUGCAACCUACAACACAGCUCAUGGCAACACUGGAUCCUUAACCCACCGAGCGAGGCCAGGGAUCAAACCCAAGUCCUCAUGGAGGCUGGUUGGGUUUAUUACCACUGAGCCAUGAGAGGAACUCCCCCAACAGCAUUUUUAUAAAUCAUAAUCAUAAUUUUUAAUGUUCCAAUAAGUCUUACUUUUAGUCCAUUAAUUUGGGGAUGUUAGGCUGUGUUUAGUCCUGUGACCCCAAAGCCCUCUCACAGAUAUUUCUAUAUCCAAGACAGAAGAGUAAACCCUUAGCCCGGCCUUUGGACUUUGGAGUAAAUAUGGUGGAUUGAUGACACAUUUUAUCUUUUCUCCUUACGGAAACUUCCUGAAAUAAUCACACAGAAUCAAAAGAACAAAGUGAUUGAGGAAAGUGACAGGAAUAGACAGAAUUUAAGUUCUAGUUUUGUUCACUUUUAUUUCCCUAGAAUCUGGCACACAGUAGGCAAACAAAUUUUGAAUUCAUGAAAAGGUGAAAAAAAAGAAUUCAACUCUUUUGCAAGAUGAAGAGCUGAUAAGUGGACAAGACACAGCGAGGACUUGGCUAUAGGCUUUGAACCUGCAGAGGGAAAGAGUGACACCAGCGAUACAUGCUCUUGCUUUAUGCUCUCGGGCUGGAGCCUGUAAUCCUGUUGGAGUCGUUAAUCUGGUUGCAGUUCGCUCUUAUCCAAUUCUGUAUGCUUCUUAGAUCCGGAAACAGGCGUGCUCAGGCCUUGUGGGUCCAUCUGCUCUGCCCGGUUAGGUGUCGUCCCGCCACCCGAGAAGAAUCCAUUGGAUCCGGUAAAGGCUUCGCGUUCCUUCUCAGCCACAAAGACAGCGCCGCAUUUCAAACUGCCCAGAGCCCCGGAGUCUACCCCGUGGGCUCUGCUGACCAGCCUCAGGGGGCCACGCUCUGCGUCAGCUUCUGCGUCACUCAGGACACCAUUGCCCCUUGAGUCCUCAUUACUGUCCUCCAAAAUGUUAAAAAUAUGAUUCUCCUAUGAGGGUUAACAUAGUAAAAUCCAGAGUUUCCAUGUGCCUCGGGGGGUUAAGGAUCCGACGUCACGGCAGUGGCUCAGGUUGGUGCUGAGGCACAGGUUCAAUCCUUGCUGUGAGGACUUGCAGACAAAAAAAAAAAAAGAAAAAAAAUGUAAAAUCCAUACAUAAUGCAUUCGAUUAUCUAUUUAUGGAAGACAGACAGGGGAAAGCUCUUCUGUAAAUGGGGAGCUGCAUGAUGUGGGAAUAAUAACAGGAGGGGGGCAUUGAUGGGCUGGCCUGGAGUGUAAUUGACUCAGGACAGGAAAGCCUGAUGAAAAGGAUCAUUCCUUUCCAAAGAGACGCUACCAGAGCAGAGUGCUAAAGAGCAGGAUGCCAGGAAUCAGAGCUGGAUUCAAAUCCCUGCCAGUCGUGGGUGACUUUUGUGCAACCACUUAAUCUUUAUGGGAAUCAGUUUUUACAUCCAUUAAAAGAAGGUAAUUGAUGUGUCUCCAGGGUUGUGUUCUGAUUAAUGAGGUGUUACCUGUAAAGUGUUUAGCACCGCGCUGUGGUACAUUUAACAGGUGGGCUUGCGUGAAGCUGAAAAGAGGAGGACACCAAAGGACAACAUCUGUCAUUGUUCCUCUGGCACAUUCAGAGGUCACAGAUGCUGAGGGGAAGGAAAUGAGUGCUCAGGUCCCUGGAGACCCGAACCCACGGGGACAGGUAGAGCUCCUCGGGAGUUCCCUGGCCUCUCGAAGCUGUCUCCUUCAUGGCUCUUCACUUCCACUCUAUACGCAUCAAAACAGCACGCUUAGUUUUCAGAUUUUCUGGUGCCCGGGAGGGGGAGCUCCAAAUACCGGAUUCCAGUAUUCUGGUUAUUUAACAGAGAGUAUUUCCAUUCUAAAUGUAUGAAUUGCAAUUUUUUUUUUUUGGUCUUUUUUAGGGCUGCACCUGCAGCAUAUGGUAG